rnacentral:SRP_RNA from 13 species
GCCUGGCGCGGUGGCACAUGCCUGUAGUCCCAGCUACUCGGGAGGCUGAGGUAGGAGGAUCGCUUGAGCCCAGGAGUUCUGGGCUGUAGUGAGCUAUGCCGAUCGGGUGUCUGCACUAAGUUUGGCAUCAAUAUGGCGACCUCCCGGGGGCGGGGGACCACCAAGUUGCCUAAGGAGGGGUGAACCAGCCCAGGUCGAAAAACGAGCAGGUCAAAACUCCCAUGCUGAUCAGUAGUGGGAUCACGCCUGUGAAUAGCCACUGCACUCCAGCCUGGGCAACACAGCGAGACCCUGUCUCUA